rnacentral:rRNA from 1 species
AUGGACGAUGUAAGUGCAGUGCCAAGGGUUAUGUCGUUCCAGUUAUUAAAUGAAAUUACAAAAAAUUUCUCUACGGAAAUGAAAAUUGGCGCUGGAUCAUUCGGAAAUGUUUAUAAGGGACAGCAUACAGAUGGGGAAUGGAUUGCUGUGAAGCUGCUUCAUAAUUACAUUCCAGGACUUGAAGAUGAGCAAUUUGAGAAGGAGUAUCACAAUCUCGCAAAUCUGCAACACAACAAUAUUGUGCGGUUAGUUGGCUAUAGUCAUGAAACUCGGCGAGAAUUCCUACCUUAUAAUGGUGACCUGGUCUUGGCUGACAUUACACAGAGAGCACUUUGCUUUGAAUAUAUGCAAAAUGGAAGCCUUGACAAAUUUCUUACUGAUGAAUCUAAGGGACAUGAUUGGCGCACACGCUAUGCAAUAAUUAAAGGAAUUUGUCAGGGUUUGAAAUAUCUUCAUGAGGAAUUGCAAACUCCAAUGUAUCAUUUGGAUUUAAAACCAGCCAAUGUACUGCUAGAUGAAAAUAUGGUGCCCAAAAUCGCGGAUUUUGGCUUGUCAAGGCUCUUCGGAGGAGAACAGUCAAAAUUCACAAAAAGUGACAUAGGAACACGUGGGUAUGUACCACCGGAAUAUAUAGACGCCUGUAUAAUCUCCAUUAAGUUUGACAUAUUCAGUUUGGGUGUGGUAAUUAUAAAGAUAAUGGCAGGACCAACGGCAUACUUUCGAAGUGCUGAAAUGUCUCCCCAAGAAUUCAUAGAGAUUGUACAUGCUUACUGGAACACUAAGCUACAAACAACACUGGUUCACGCAUUGGAGCCAUAUUCCAAACAAGUAAAGAGAUGCAUAGAAAUAGCUUUAAAUUGUGUGGAUGCAGAUCGACACAAAAGACCAAGUAUAGGGGAAAUCAUUAAUGUUUUGAAUGAGAUGGAGACUGCAAUACAAGUCCCUGGCGCUUCAAUGAAUCACACAGGAUCAUCGAUGAACAAGAUAAAUAGCGACCAGGAAAGAGAGUUCCUAAUUAGGGAUGCAAAGGAAACGCUGGAUUAUGUACAUCGAGGACAAGGGAACACAUCAUUCGAGGACUGCCGACAAACUCACAUAGCAGAACUAGAAGAACAAGAGAGGAAAAGACUGAGCACGGCGGUGAAUAUCUUUGGUGAAGUAGUUGACAACUACAAGUUGGAUCAAAUGCCAGAGUACAUGGGGAAACCUAAGAAGCGGGAAGACCGAGCACGCGAGGCCUUGAAUCUGAUGUGCGAAGACCGCAAAGAUGUCAUGGCUUGCAGGUACUUGUGUCCCAAGGUAAUCAUCCAAGUCUAUUGGCCGCGGGCCACGCAGUGCUUCAUCUAUAACGCGACCGGCGACACCCUCUACCACGUCGGCAACCAUGACUGGUCUGGGCAUAUCCUCAAUGGCAGGGGCUACCCUGAACGGAUUGGCAAUGGGCAGUGGGCUGCCUUCGUUCACUGCCAAGGGUCAUUUUCAGGUUCGAUGGCAUCGGUUAUCUACCGUGGCAAGAACAAAGAUGGUGGAGACCAGCACUACCUGGUUUCCUGGAGUAACCCAAUUAGAUAUACUUUUGGGUCCAACAAGGCUUAUUGCGGGAUCGGCCCUGUAGACUACUUCCAUACACGUUGGGAUCAUACACACGAGAACCUUUCAAAUUCAGAUAACUAUUCAUACGCCAAGUCUGACGGAUGCGAGAUUGAUUCAAAAAUUGGCAAGCGUGAUGCCCCAUUUUUUACUGCAAAGAUCACCUCACUGGUUGGUCAUCUCCAGCAUUGUGCAAGGAUCUAUAUGGAUAAAUAG